rnacentral:rRNA from 1 species
CCCUUCCGCACUCUAGCCUUGCAGUAUCAGCUGCUGUUCUUCCGUUAAGCAGAAGGCUUUCACAACUGACUUACAAGGCCGCCUACGUGCUCUUUACGCCCAAUAAUUCCGAACAACGCUUGCCGCCUCUGUAUUACCGCGGUUGCUGGCACAGAGUUAGCCGUGGCUUCCUCCGGAGCCUUAGUCAAGUAAGGAUACUAUUAACACCCUUA